AAAAAUUUAAGGUCUGACCUGCUCACUGAAAUUUUUUAAAGAGCCGCGGUAUUUUGACCGUGCAAAGGUAGCAUAAUCAUUAGUCCUUUAAUUAGGGGCUGGUAUGAAUGGUUUGACAAGGAAUUUUCUGUCUCUUAAUUAUUUAUAUAAUUUAUCUUUUAAGUUAAAAGACUUAAAUUUUUCUUUAGGACGAGAAGACCCUAUAGAGUUUAAUAUUUUAUUUAUUUUUAAUUUUCUGAUAGUAUAUUUAUUUUUAAUGAUAAUAUUUUGUUGGGGUGAUAUGAAGAAUAAAUAAACUCUUCAUUAUAAAAUCAUUGAUUUAUGUUUAUUUGAUCCAUAUUUUAUGAUCAUAAGAUUAAAUUACCUUAGGGAUAACAGCGUAAUUAUUUUUGAGAGUUCAUAUCGACAAAGUAGAUUGCGACCUCGAUGUUUGGAUUAAGAAAAAUUCUAGAUGUAGAAGUUUAGAGAUUAGGUCUGUUCGACCUUU
rnacentral:rRNA from 1 species